rnacentral:piRNA from 1 species
UUUCUUUAAAUUAUUUGUGGGGCUG